rnacentral:rRNA from 1 species
UACGUAGGGUGCGAGCGUUGUCCGGAAUUACUGGGCGUAAAGAGCUCGUAGGUGGUUUGUCGCGUUGUUCGUGAAAACUCACAACUCAAUUGUGGGCGUGCGGGCGAUACGGGCAGACUGGAGUACUGCAGGGGAGACUGGAAUUCCUGGUGUAGCGGUGAAAUGCGUAGAUAUCUGGAGGAACACCGGUGGCGAAGGCGGCAUCCUGGACCAACACUGACGCUGAGGAGCGAAAGCCAGGGGAGCAAACGGG